rnacentral:rRNA from 1 species
UGGGGAAUAUUGGACAAUGGGCGAAAGCCUGAUCCAGCAAUGCCGCGUGUGUGAAGAAGGCCUGCGGGUUGUAAAGCACUUUCGUGGGGGAGGAAGGCAUUAGCUUUAAUAGAGCUGAUGAUUGACGUUACCCCAAGAAGAAGCACCGGCUAACUCUGUGCCAGCAGCCGCGGUAAUACAGAGGGUGCAAGCGUUAAUCGGAAUUACUGGGCGUAAAGGGUGUGUAGGUGGCAAAGUAAGUUAGGUGUGAAAUCCUCGGGCUUAACCUGAGAAUUGCGCUUAAUACUGCCUUGCUAGAGUACUAUAGAGGGUAGUGGAAUUUCCAGUGUAGCGGUGAAAUGCGUAGAUAUUGGAAGGAACACCAGUGGCGAAGGCGACUGCCUGGAUAGAUACUGACACUGAGACACGAAAGCGUGGGUAGCAAACA